GGGAUCUGUUAAAGUGUAUGAGUUGUUACUGUUGAUCAUGUCAUUUUUGCAGCACGGUAUUGCUGCAUCAGAUAUCUCUAGCGACUCCUCCCUUGUCUGCCGCCAGGUGGCGCUGUGCGCGUGCGCGUUCGCUGAGGACGUUUCCAUGGAGUCUUUCAGAAGCACGAGGCGCCGAGAAAAGACUAGUGUGCGCGGAAUGACGUAAUGUGAUGGACUGAAGCCGCUGUAGCGCCGGUUCUUCGUGCACUGCCUGCAUCUGCUGCUCCGCAUCCCUCAGCGGACACUCUGCACUCUUGUUUAGGACCCAUUCUGGAGCAAAAAUACCUUCUUUGGAUUUGUGAUUUUUGAGGAUUUUACAAGACCGCGAUGUAAAGCUGCAAGAACAUGCCACUGUGUCAUCUGGAAGUUUUCAAAUCAUCAGGAAGAUGAAUACAGAAAUGUGUAAUUAUGAAGUUGGGGUAACCUUCCCCCCUUCUCGAUGCCUGUCACAGAGCAGCCAUGCUGGGCUUCAUCUGAAGGGAUGCACCAUGGUGUGAGCACACGUCUGUCCUACCCCAGACUCAAUGAAUCGCACCAAUGAAUGGACAUUACUGUGGCAAAGGGAAUUAGCUUGCUUGCAUAGGGACUUUGGAUUUGGGAAUACUGGAACCGGUCAGAGAGCGCUGGAUUUUCUUUUGAAGAAGUGCAGCAGAUUCUUCAAGGAGUGUUUUUGGAAGAUGUCUGAGAAGGGAGCUGAGGCGUCUACAACUCAGCCCCAAAAGCGGAAGCAGGUGAUUCACGGUCUGGAAGAUCAGAAACAGGCUUAAUUGCUUAACAGGCAUCAGCACUGGGUUGAUAGCAGCAUCUCUGUGCUCUGGGUCCCAUUCACUUCCUCCAGGCUCUGAUUGGCUCUGAGGAUGCUGGCUUGACUGAGGCCUGACGUCUGGAUCCGCAGGGGCUCAUUGGAGAGAGUUAGAGGCGUAGCAGCACGGCGGGAAUGCAAUUAAGAGUUUUUUUUUUUUAUGUGAUUUUU
rnacentral:lncRNA from 1 species